rnacentral:rRNA from 1 species
CCUACGGGUGGCAGCAGUAGGGAAUAUUGCUCAAUGGGGGAAACCCUGAAGCAGCAACGCCGCGUGGAGGAUGAAGGUUUUAGGAUUGUAAACUCCUUUUGUUAGAGAAGAUUCUGACGGUAUCUGACGAAUAAGCACCGGCUAACUCCGUGACAGCAGCCGCGGUAAUACGGCGGUUGCAGGAGUUACUCGGAAUCACUGGGCGUAAAGAGUGCGUAGGCGGGUUAAUAAGGCAGAUGUGAACUUCUGGAGCUUAACUAGAGAACUGCAUUCGAAACUGUUGCUCUGGAGUGUGGGAGAGGCAGGUGGAAUUCGUGGUGUAGCGGUAAAAUGCGUAGAGAUCAAGAGGAAUACUCAUUGCGAAGGCGGCCUGCUGGAACAUUACUGACGCUGAUGCACGAAAGCGUGGGGAGCAAACAGGAUUAGAUACCCGUGUAGUC